GAUGUAAACUUAAACUAUUCAUGGAAAGAAAAUCACUAAAAUAUAAAGAGAUCAAUCGGGGCAUUACUUUAAUUGGUUGAUGUGUUAAUUUCUCUUUGAAUAUUUGUCUAAAAAAAUACUUAGGGAUACAUGCCUGUUACGGAUUUCAAAUUACUAAAGAGUACAAAGGGGUAAUUUGCCAUCAAGAGAUUUUCUAAACGACUACACCUGUAAUUGUUUUUUGUGACUCUGC
rnacentral:misc_RNA from 1 species